CAGAUACCGCCCUAGUUCUGACCGUAAACGAUGCCAACUAGCGAUCCGCCAGUCGACUCAUCGCUCUGGUGGGGAGCUUCCCGGAAACGAAAGUCUUCCGGUUCCGGGGGAAGUAUGGUUGCAAAGCUGAAACUUAAAGGAAUUGACGGAAGGGCACCACCAGGAGUGGAGCCUGCGGCUUAAUUUGACUCAACACGGGGAAACUCACCCGGCCCGGACACCGUAAGGAUUGACAGAUUGAUAGCUUUUUCAUGAUUCGGUGGAUGGUGGUGCAUGGCCGUUCUUAGUUCGUGGAGCGAUUUGUCUGGUUUAUUCCGAUAACGAGCGAGACUCUGGCCUACUAAAUAGUUGACGCAUUGCCACUGUGCGCACAACUUCUUAGAGGGAUUUUCGGUGUUUUCAACCGCACGAAAUUGAGCAAUAACAGGUCUGUGAUGCCCUUAGAUGUCCGGGGCUGCACGCGCGCUACACUGGCAAACGCAACGUGCCUGUCCUGCCCCGAAAGGAGCGGGUAAACCCCUGAAAUUUUGCCGUGAUUGGGAUCGGACAUUGCAACUAUUGUCCGUGAACGAGGAAUUCCUUGUAGGGGCGAGUCAUCAACUCGUCCCGAA
rnacentral:rRNA from 1 species